rnacentral:rRNA from 1 species
GAUGAACGCUGACAGAAUGCUUAACACAUGCCAGUCAACUUGAAUUUGGGUUUUUAACUUAGGUUUGGGUGGCGGACGGGUGAGUAACGCGUAAAGAACUUGCCUCACAGCUAGGGACAACAUUUGGAAACGAAUGCUAAUACCUAAUAUUAUGAUAAUAGGGCAUCCUAUAAUUAUGAAAGCUAUAAGCGCUGUGAGAGAGCUUUGCGUCCCAUUAGCUAGUUGGAGAGGUAACGGCUCACCAAGGCGAUGAUGGGUAGCCGGCCUGAGAGGGUGAUCGGCCACAAGGGGACUGAGACACGGCCCUUACUCCUACGGGAGGCAGCAGUGGGGAAUAUUGGACAAUGGACUGAGAGUCUGAUCCAGCAAUUCUGUGUGCACGAUGAAGUUUUUCGGAAUGUAAAGUGCUUUCAGUUGGGAAGAAACAAAUGACGGUACCAACAGAAGAAGUGACGGCUAAAUACGUG